GAUAAAAUGGCUGAGAUUAAGUAGGUAAUAGAUUGUAAAUCUAUUUAGGGGAAUAUUUCUCUUUUAUCA
rnacentral:tRNA from 1 species